rnacentral:rRNA from 1 species
UACGUAGGGUGCAAGCGUUAAUCGGAAUUACUGGGCGUAAAGCGUGCGCAGGCGGUUUUGUAAGACAGGCGUGAAAUCCCCGGGCUCAACCUGGGAAUUGCGCUUGUGACUGCAAAGCUGGAGUGCGGCAGAGGGGGAUGGAAUUCCGCGUGUAGCAGUGAAAUGCGUAGAUAUGCGGAGGAACACCGAUGGCGAAGGCAAUCCCCUGGGCCCGCACUGACGCUCAUGCACGAAAGCGUGGGGAGCAAACAGG